AAAAAGAGUUGGCAGAUUACGGAUGGAGGGCAGUAUCUCCCAACAGCCUGGGCGGCCGCUGAGACCCAGAGAACCCAAGGACUCCCCUGGGCUCAUCCAGCAGCCUCUGCUUCCCAGGAGAGAGGUGCUGAAGUCCACAAAGAGGUGGUAACUUCCAAGAGUGACUCCGUGGGAGGAAAAUGACUGCCCAGUCGCUGCUGCAGAUGACGCUGUUCCUGCUGAGUCUGCUCUUCCUGGUCCAAGGUGCCCACGGCAGGAGCCACAGGGAAGACUUUCGCUUCUGCAGCCAGCGGAACCAGACACACAAGAGCAGCCUCCACUACAAAGCCACGCAAGACCUGCGCAUCUCCAUCGAGAACUCCGAGGAGGCCCUCACAGUCCAUGCCCCCUUCCCUGCGGCCCACCCUGCUUCUCGAUCCUUCCCUGACCCCAGGGGCCUCUACCACUUCUGCCUCUACUGGAACCGACAUGCUGGGAGAUUGCAUCUUCUCUAUGGCAAGCAUGACUUCUUGCUGAGUGACAACGCCUCUAGCCUCCUCUGCUUCCAGCACCGGGAGGAGAGCCUGGUCCAGGGCCCCCUGCUGUUCGCCACUUCUGUCACCUCCUGGUGGAGCCCUCAGAACAUCAGCCUGCCCAGUGCCGCCAACUUCACCUUCUCCUUCCACAGUCCUUCCCACACGGCUGCUCACAAUGCCUCGGUGGACAUGUGCGAGCUCAAAAGGGACCUCCAGCUGCUCAGCCAGUUCCUGAAGCAUCCCCAGAAGGCCUCAAGGAGGCCCUCGGCUGCCCCCGCCAGCCAUUGCAGAGCCUGGAGUCGAAGCUGACCUCUGUGAGAUUCAUG
rnacentral:sRNA from 1 species